CGCAGAGGAAGUGAGUGCUGCGGGGGUGUGGCCUGGAGGUCACACCUUGAGCGGUGGGUGUUCAGUGUGUUAUCAUUGUAAUCAGCUGCCCGCGGCUGAUGAAUGAUUCAUGGUCGUUUCUAGCUCAGCAGAUAAUGUCGUCUUUAUACGUUCAGUCUUCGCUGUAGCGGGCGAGCCCGAGCAAUAGCAGAGCUUUUGUAGGACUUCACUGCCAUCCGAGGGUUAGGAAGUCUCCCCACCCCCGCAGCCCCAGGAGGAUGUAAGAAGCACUGUCCCCUACUCCCAUUUCCACUUUUAGCUUGGCGCAGUUUAUACCUAAAAAAAUCUUAAGAAUACGUGCUAUGGACAAUUCAGACUCGGGCCCAGAUGACUCACACCGGCUCUACCAGAUCCAGAAGCAGCCGCAUGGGGAUUCAUUCCUGAGGUCCUGAACUCUGGAGGAACCCGCGGAUUAGACUUUAAUGAGGCUUGAUUUCGGUAGGACGAAAGAACACAAGUGAGGACCCACCUCUGCGGGGUGUGGCUGCUGUGUCUCUGGCUCCGCAUUGUUUCCCAGAUUGUUGUGGGUGGUGGACGUCGCCGCAGCCUUCCCAGGGCGAAACGUAUUCUCGGUUCUGGGAAGGCUUCCAUCUUCCACAGUCCCCCGUUGUAACUCCGUGGAAUGUAGUUUAAAAAAAUAAUUUCACAAGGUAAAAUUGCAGUUUUUAAUAGUUACCAUUUUAGAAAAACAGCCAGUGUUUCUGAUUCUGUCUCCUCCCCUGCCCCCAUGAUUUCUGAGUGUGCGAUCCCUUAGAGGACCCUUAGGGCUGUUACUUUAAAACAUUUAGCGUCUUUCUCUCUAUAUUUUAGCAAUCCGGAAUUCUGUCUUGUAACUUCUUUUUACAUCACUGAAGGUGUUUCUGUUUCUCCUUCAUGUUUUUUUUUUAAAGCCCUGGAAUGGGUAUUUGCAAAAGUAUUUUAUUAAGGUAGCCUAUAUAUUGAUACCUUUUUCGUAUUUUGUAUUUUUAAAAUUAACUUUGAGAUAAUACGUGCUUCAGCCCUGCCAUAGAAAUUCCAUCUCCUAAAAUCAUGUUCUGGUGAAUUAAGGAGAAAAGGAACAUUUUCUAAGGCUAACUAAUAACAAAAGAAAGGUAUAAAUGCCUAGAAGCCGCCAAACGAAUUCAGAGAGAAAUCUGAGGAUCUAGGAAAAAGCUGUCUUAUUAAAUGCAAUUGUGGUAGACUUCCUGGAAGUGAUAAAUGUAGUGAAAUCAAUCUUUUCUAAUGACUUAAUUGUCAUCAGAAGAUCUGAAAACAAUUUUGUGGGUUAAGGUAGGUAGUCAUCAUCCUUGGUGAUAACUAUAAUAACUAUCAUGUUAUAAAAACACUAUAAGACUAUUUUUGUUAUAAAAGCAGACUUCAUACUGUAGAUCUUAUUGUUAAUAAUUGUUGGCUUUUGUUUGCUUUUUACAAAUCCACGGUUAUAAUGAAAGUGACAUUGUUGCAUUGAGAUGCAAGGAAUAGAGUUGUUUUGUUUGUUUGUUUUUUCCAUGCAGUUAACAUUCUUUUUUUCUUUAAAAAAAUCAUUUUCAGUGAUUUCAGUCCAGCCAAGUGACAGGAUUCACAUUUGCACUUGAGGUGGUCAGGAACGGUGUCUCCUCAAAUUAGGGCCUUUUGUUGAACACUUGAUCGGAAGGAAGGUAAAACCUGAAGGUCUCUCUAACAAAGGUGGAAUCAGUUUUUAAAAAUCAUGGCUCUCUCAAAGGAAUGUGUCUACUUUGGAUGAAGACAGGGGCACAUGCCUGUACUUAAUUGCCUGCAAUAGAAGAAUAAUUAUUUUACUCUUAAGGAUUUUUUCCUGGAGAGAAAAUGUAUUCAUGUAUCCAUUUAUAGUCUCUCUCUGUCUCUCUUUUCUGUCUUUUAUGGUUAUAUAAAUGUGUGUGUUCCUGCUUGGGCCAUUCCUCAUUCUAAAAACAUUUGUGGAAGUCCACAGUGCUUAAGACGGGAGCUGGCUGCUUAAGUUUGGAUCCGUUCCGAUCACUUACUAGGUGGGUGAUGUUGGCCAAUUUCUAUGCAUUAUUAGUCAACGAGCUUAUUUUUAAAUUUGGGGUCAUGCUGUCACUAAACUUUCCAGGGUUUGUGGUGAGGAUUAAGUGAGAUAAUGCAGGUGGAGUAUUUACCACAAUAAAUGAUAAACUCUCUGGCCUACAGAAAAUGCUUGAUACAACUCCAGCUGUUGUUUUGUUGCAUAGGGAGAUCCUGGGGAAAAUUUUUUUCACAUUUCCAACAGAAUAGUUUCAAAUGAAACACAUCCUCUCCCUUUUACAAGUAGUAAAUUACGACUCAGGGAGAAGCGUGGUAAAGAGAAAGACUGGGUCAUGUUCCCUUUGGGGAGUGUGUCGACCUAAAAUCUCAUUGAGAAGAGGAGAUGCCAGUUACACCUCUUAAAUUCAAGAUACGAUUUCUUAAAUCCCUCUGCCUGGUUAUUCCACUAAUGCAGUGCUCUGAGGCUUGACAGCUCCUAGUAGCGAUCUGUAGAAUACGGUCCCCAAGAGUCGGAGGGAAGGCUGUCACCCAAGUCAGGCCCUUCGAGUGUGUAUUUCCUGCUUUAUCACAAUUAAUGUCCACGAUUUAUUACAUUUCCUGCUUCGCUGUGGCUUUUGAUAACUGGUGGGUGUGACAGUUAAUCCUUGGGUGUGUCCCUGGUGUAGUAAGUAUUCCAUUGAGUAAUAGUCUUCUGUCAUCAUUUGGUCCAUUAGCCCCACAUGGAAGGCGCCCCGUCUCGCCAAACCCAAUGAAGGAAACCAGCCCUGCUUCUUCUUGGGAGCCAAGGAGUGAUUUCGUAAGAUCUGCUCCUGUAAGCACUGUGGGAAUAGCUGAUCAGAAUGCUGGUUGCUUCUGUCCUUUAGUCACCAGAGUUGAUUCCCUCGGUUUCAAAGCCACAGAAGGUUGCAAAGGUCCCCAAGGGCUUUUAGGGUUACAGGUGCAAAGGGAAAAAGAAUGGCCCCCUCAGAAAGGCACCUGUGCAGGGAGGCACCUGGUGGAAGGUGGAG